GUGUCAGCAGCCGCGGUAAGACGGAGGGCGCGAGCGUUGUUCGGAAUCACUGGGCGUAAAGCGCGCGCAGGCGGGACCUGCAAGUCGGAAGUGAAAUCCCGGGGCUCAACUCCGGGGCUGCUUCCGAAACUGCGGACCUGGAGACUGGUAGAGGUGGGUGGAAUUCCCGGUGUAGCGGUGGAAUGCGUAGAGAUCGGGAAGAACACCUGUGGCGAAGGCGGCCCACUGGGCCAGUUCUGACGCUGAGGCGCGAAAGCGUGGGGAGCAAACAGGAUUAGAAACCCCGGUAGUCC
rnacentral:rRNA from 1 species